rnacentral:rRNA from 1 species
UACGGAGGGUGCAAGCGUUAUCCGGAUUCACUGGGUUUAAAGGGUGUGUAGGCGGAUAUUUAAGUCAGUGGUGAAAUCUCCGGGCUCAACCCGGAAACUGCCAUUGAUACUAUUUAUCUUGAAUAUUGUUGAGGUAGGCGGAAUAUAUCAUGUAGCGGUGAAAUGCUUAGAUAUGAUAUAGAACACCGAUUGCGAAGGCAGCUUACUAAACAAUCAUUGACGCUGAGGCACGAAAGCGUGGGGAUCAAACAGG